rnacentral:lncRNA from 1 species
AAAAAAAAGAAAGAAAGAGAAAAAAGAAAGAAAAAGAAAACAAGCAUCUUGAACGGAAAGCACAUGUCAGGCUGGGCGUGUGCUCUUCAGUGUCCAAAUGGCCAUUGCCUCCGACCAUCAUCUGGGCUGAAGAAUGUGGCAGGUGGAGGGGAGCAGCUCACCCUGUCGGCCUGACUUCUUCAUCCUGUGGUUUCCAAAGAAGCCUCUGCAUCUGCUCAUCCCCUACCCUUGCAGGCUGACCUUUAACCUUGCCAGGCUGGCCCCCACUCUUGCCAGGCUGACACCUACCCUUGCCAGGCUGACCUUUAACCUUGCCAGGCUGCCCCUUACCCUUGCCAGGCUGACCUUUAACCUUGCCAGGCUGCCCCCUACCCUUGCAAGGCUGCCCCUACCCUUGCUAGGCUGCCCCCUACCCUUGCCAGGCUGCCCCUACCCUUGCCAGGCUGACCCCCACCCACUCUUGCCAGGCUGACCUUUAACCUUGUCAGGCUGAACCCUACCCUUGCAAGGCUGACCCCUACCCUUGCCAGGCUGACCCCCACCCUUGC